rnacentral:lncRNA from 1 species
CCUCCCUCUUCCCAUAAAACUUUUAGGAAAAUGGGGGCGGGGGCGGUGGAGACCACCAGCCUGGAACUUCAAGUUCAAUGGCAAAGUCCCUGACCCUCCCCCCAGGCUGGGCGCCAGCAUUAUUCUAGGGGCGAUUAAACUCUUUUGCUGCCCCCUGUGCACCUCCCAGUUCGGGGGCAGUUUAGGGGAGGAGAGAAGGUAAUGGUGGAAUUCUUUC